rnacentral:lncRNA from 1 species
GUGAAGGUUCACAUCCGAAAAGUACUUUUACUGAAUAUGUGGUAUAAAAGAUCUAGCAUUCUUUUGAAUUAUUUUGAAUUUCAGUUUUAUUUACUUUUUUUAUUUGAAGUUUUAAAUUAUGUAGGGGAAUGUUAGAUUUUAAUUAGGUUUUUCAUGAUUUAAAACUUCAUGGGCUUCUUGGGCAGCCUAAUAUUCCAUGGGCCUUGCUUGAGAGCCCGUACUAAGGUUU